AAAGGAUCUGGUGAGAGCAUUAUAGUGAAAUAAGUAUUGCAGAAGUUUUGGAAGAAUGGAGAGGGACAAACACAGAAGCAGAGAAAGACAAAGACAAAAAGAGAGAAAUAAUUACUAAAUUGGUUCAAUGUGGUCUCAUUUUGCAGUAUCUAUCAGCUAAUCCUACAAGUAUAAGAAUGUUUCUCCAAGGCUGCCUUCUAUCAAAAUAUGCCCAUGGAUUUAUUUUGCUUGCAUUGACUUUAUCAGCCAUAUUGCAUAUUAAUAAUUAUAAAUAUGUUGGAUAAAUCUAAUGUAAUAUUAACCAUAAUAAAUUGAUGAAUAUAUUUUCUCCCUUUCUCUCCAUCUCUGUCUCUCUCUGCCUCUUUUUCUCUGUCUCUCUCUCUCUCUCAAUUGAGUUCUGUCUUCAAGAAGAAAUUAUCUCUAUUUCAGAAGGAAAAAUCUGCACUUGAGCUUG
rnacentral:lncRNA from 1 species